rnacentral:lncRNA from 1 species
UUUUUUUUUUUUUUUUUUUGGCCUCCCAACAUCCUCUUGCCAUUCUUCUGGUACUCGAACUCUCAAGUUGUUUCAGGAAAACCACUUUUCCAAUACCAUCUAGAGAGGUCAAUCAAGGCACCCUGCCCUCCUUAACAGUGGAGUGGGUCCAUGACUCAAGUUAUGCCAUUCCAGUACUGGUCUCUGCUAUCCAGACCUCCUGAAACUACAUUCCCUUUGUGUUCAAGCUGCCUGAAAUUCUGUGAGCCAUCCCAUAUUCUUCCCCAAAACUAUUUUUUUUCUCCAGCUAAACAGAGUCCUUUUCUGUUGCAUGCAACCAAAUGAGCAGACUGACACGUGGUCCCUUCACCCUUUGAGCCUGUUUGGACCUCAAGCAAAUUUUGGCGUCUGCUAACUAGGAGGUAUAAUACUCACCUUAUAGGAGACAGGAGGGAAGAUCUUGCUAACAUUCCUGUUUUCCAGCACCUUCUUUAGACUCUAACCUCCUGGGAAAAGCUUCCCCAUUCUUCACUGGGGCUGCCAGACAUGCAGAUGCUGCAUACUCAGCAGAAGAAGUGAAGGAGCCUGAGCUAUAUUUGAGCUUCCUGAGAAUACACAGACACAGCCUCCUGUGCUCUGGCUGGCCAAGGAGAGUGUAAUUAACAGACUUUUCUUCAGAGCAUGGACUGAACAGGUGAUGGCUCAGCAAGUUCAGAAUCACAGCCAUGGCCAAUUUCUCCUUCCCCAGGUCUAUUUUUGAGUCACCACAGGUGCUUAGGAAGGCCACAUGUCAGGACUACAGGGCAGGGGAGAGACUUUUCUUGGAGAACCUGUCAGUUAGGAUUGCAUGAAGUUGACAGAACAGAAAUCCAACCAAAUAAAGCUUUGUUUCUCACAUAGCAAGAAGUCUGGAGGUAGGCAAUCCAGACUGGUACAGAGGACCGAUUACAAAGAAAUCACUAAGGACUGAAGCUUCUGCCUUCCUGCUUUGCUAUCUUUAGCAGGCAGCUCUCACCCUAAUAGUCACAAGAUGGCUGCUCCACUUCCAGAAACCUCACCUACAUUCCAGGCAAUAAGAUUGAGGAACAAACUUCCCUCAUUCCUUUAGAAUGAAGAAGAUCAUAGAUUCCUAAGAAGUCCCAUCCAAAUGUCCACUUACAUCUCAUUGGUCAGAACUGGGUCAGGGGACCACCCUUAGCUGCAAGGGGGUAUGGGCAGGUAUUUUUGACUGGGAACAUUUUAUUCAAAGUUAGGAUUCUGUUACUAAGUAAAAAGUAAAGACCAGACAUUGGUUCAGCAACUGGGAGUGUCUUUCACAGAAGGUGAAAUGGGGAAUGGAUGUCUAUGGGAGGUCUCUGAGAGGCUGAGUCAGUGGUUCUCAGAAACACAAGAGGUGGACCCAAUUCCAGAGCCUUCAAGUGGAAAACUAGAGAGAGCCAUCCUCACUAUGACAUACAGAGAAAACCAAGCGCUGCAUAAAUAUGUUCUGUAAAGACAGUGUUGACAUCUGAAACAUGGAAAAGGUAGAGGGGCUUAUCAAAAAGAGCUAAAAUGUCCUGGUUUUAAAUCUCAGUCCUGCUAGAUAUAACUCUGUGACCUUGGGCAAGUCACUUAACCUCUUUGGGCCUCUCAAUUUUCUCAACUAUAAAAUGGGGAAGAUACCUUGCACAGUUUUUGUGCUGCUCGAACAAGACCUCAUGUAUAAAUUGUACAUCCUGGGCAUCUGACAAAUGAGAGUUACUAUUGGUGUAACUCUCAUUUUCUAAGUGGCAAAGAUGAAACCCAGAUAGGGGAAGCAAGAUGACCUAAGUCACACAGCCAGACAGAGGCAGAGCUCAGACCAGGGCCCAAUUCUCCGACUUCUGACCUGGGGUAUGUUCCAUUUCACAACUGCUCCCCCUGUUAAAAAAAUUAUAAUUUUCACCAAAUGUAGAAUUAGGCCUGAGUAGUAGAACAAAGUAGCUGGUUCAGAAUCCUUUUUUUUUUUUUUUUUUUUUUUUACCGAAUAAAGUGCUUUCAGAUGCUUCCAAUGCCAUAAGUUAAGCAGAAAAGGAACGGACAUCCUUAUAUACCACUUCUGGUGAAUUAUGGUCUUCAUUAUUUUUAUUGUGAUGAGUGUUCAUUGAGCACACUAACCACGUGUGACAUAAGGCUGAAGUCCAUCCCCCAACAGCCAGAGCUAGCAAUGACCAGUACACUGUGUUACCUUUCUAUCGCUGCUGUCACAAAUGAAAACAAACCCCCACGUACUCACUGAAGUCUCUGAGCCUUUAGCUCCCGUUCCACUGUGUUUCAACAGAGAUGUCCUCGAACACCAGGAUCUAAAAACGAAAUAGACCACGUCUCAGACUUGGUCACCAGAGGGGAGAGGGAUGGGGAGAGGGCACAAUGGGUGAAGGGGAAUGGAACACACAGGCUUCCAGUGACGGGAUGAAUAAGUCACGAGGAUGAAAGGCAUAGCAUGGAGAAUAUAGUCUAUGGUGUUGUGAUAGUGUUGUGUUGGGGACAGAUGGUGGCUAUACUCAUGAGCAAAGGUUGAAUCACUGUGUUGUACAGCUGAAGUUAAUAUAAUGUUAUGUGUCAACUAUACUUUAAGUACUCACUCACACACACACACACACACACACACACACACACACACACACCCUGCCUGGUAUCUGCAAACUGGCUCUGUGCUGGGGUGCUCCUCCUCCAACUCUGCCUUAGAUGGUACCCCUGCUUGAACUGAGCCAUUUUUUAAGUUGUUUUUUCCUUCAUUCAGCAUUCAAUGGGUUGCUCCAAACCUUGACGGUUUUCCAGAGUUCUGACAAAGUUAGUUCUGACAGUUUCUGCUUGUGUUUCCAAUGUUUUCAUGGAGGAGCUCAGAGUGCCUUGUCUUAGCAGCAGCUUGGACGGCUCUAACAGAAACAUCACAAACUGGGUGGCUCCUGAACAACAGGAAUUGGUUUCUUAUGGUCCUGGGGGGGGGGGGGGGGGCGGUAGAAGUCUAAGUCAGCACAGUCAGGUUCUGGCAGGGGCCCCUUUCUAGGCCGCAGACUGCCAGCUUUUUGUCCUAUCCUCACAUGGCAGAGAGCAGAGAGAGAAAGCACACCUCUCUGGUGACCCUCGUAAGGGUGCUGACCCCAUUAAAGGGCUCCACCCUCAUGACCUUAUCUAAUCCUCCCAAAGGCUCUAUCUCCCACUACCAUCACUUUGCUGGGGGAUGGGUAAGGUUCCCACACAUAAAGUUUUGAGAAGACACAAACAUUCAGUUCAUAACAUCCCUACUCUGCCAUUUCUUUUGUAAAGAUUUAUUUAUUUGAGAGAGAGAGAGAGAGUGCACAAGCUGAGAGGAGGAGCAGAGGAAGAGGGAGAAGCAGGCUUCCCAUUGAGCAGGGAGCCCAAAGCAGGGCUCCAUCCCAGGACCCUGAGAUCAUGACCUGAGCCUAAGACAGAUGCUUAACCGCCCAGGUGCCCCAUCAAUUUGUGUUUUAAAGGCUUCCCUGCUGAUUCUAAUGCAUAACCAAGGUUGACAUCCACUACUCUGGGAUCAGAACCCUGGUAUCACUACUUUCAACAAGCUCUUUAGGUGAUUCUGGUAUAGCCCAUCCAAGCUUUGGGAUCCUGCAGAUUAAAUAUCCCCAGGACCAACCUCAGGAAGUCCACUUUCUCUUAUCUUCCUCCAGUUCCUGGGAUCCAGACAGGAUGAAGAGGUUAGCCUUUGUGUGCAUUGCCUUCCAUCUGCCCAUUGCAGCACACUAUGCCCAUGAAGACAUCCAGUAGUGACUUGUUGCAGUUGGGGUUAAUGAGAAGAAUUGUCCCUGUUUGCUUCCCCAAGGAAUCAGAAUGGAAAUAAAGAAAGGAAUCCAGGAUGUGCCAGAUUCUUGCCUCCAAUUGUGACAGUAAACGGAAGCUUCUCAGCAGAUCUCUGUUGGGACUUGGCAUAUGGGUCACCUCCACCUGAGCUAGAAUCCCCCGGAAAUCACUAAGAUUUCGGGUCACAAGUUUUCAGGUCAAUGCAGCCGAGGGGAUGAAGCUCUCUCAGUCCAGCUCACCUCCAGGGCCUCCCCCCUCACAGACAGGAGGUCCUUAAAGAUAAGUCUUUCUAGGAUGACCAAGAGAUUUCCUCCUUUCUCACCAUGUGUGACCAUGGACAAGACUCCAAUGAUCUGAGUCUCAGUUUCCUUGUGUGGAUGGUGAAAAUAAUGACCUAUCUCAGUUCUUGUUAUUGCUGUAGAAGAUAAACGCAGGGGGAGAAACACAAUGAUAACAA